UCGGACUCAAGGCCACUUGCAGUCUGAGCCACUGGGCUCCGGGCCCUCGUCUCUGGAGCCGUCUCUGUCCUCGCUGCCUCCUUCAGCCGCCUAAGAAGCACAGCACAGGGAGACCAGAACGUCAGGCAGGCAACGUCCUACUGACAACUGUGCGCACUGGUCUGUGUCGAGCGAAGAUGCUGUAUCUUUAACAGUCAGGAAAGGCAGGGGAGAGAUCUUCCACGUCAAGCACCUGCUCGAACACCCUGGACUGGAACCCAGCCGAGCUCUGCAGAGUCACAACGGCACCAGGUUACCUGCCCAGCUGGACCCAACAGGUGCCAGCACGAACCAGUCCAACAGGGAGUCCUGCCGAGCUCAGAGCGGGGGACUCUGCUCAUGCUAUGCCAAUAAAACACCAUGCAUGUCUGAUGUG